ACCAGGCCGGCUCCCACCUCCCGUCUCCCAAGUCCACAAGGCCGGGGAAGUGUUUCCUGCACAGACAUCCCAGGAUGGUAGCAGGGGUGCGUGGGGGAUCAAGAGCACCCUCCAAAACUAGCCAGCCCCUGCAAAAGUGAUUCAGGAAAAAUAUCAGCUUGUCUUUGGAUUUUCAACGUAUCAUAUGAAGUACUAGUGAUAACAUCUAUAGUUACUUACCUUCUUCCCGCUGGACGUAUCAGUGGGCGUCGUUCAUGAUGCGGAACACUAGGAAGCCUUGUGGCACCUCGCAGGUAGGGAGUCGAGUGAGCAGAACUGUCCUCCGUCUGCUGAGUCCCCUCAUCCGUCU
rnacentral:lncRNA from 1 species